rnacentral:rRNA from 1 species
GAUGAACGCUGGCGGCGUGCCUAAUACAUGCAAGUCGAGCGAACGGACGAGAAGCUUGCUUCUCUGAUGUUAGCGGCGGACGGGUGAGUAACACGUGGAUAACCUACCUAUAAGACUGGGAUAACUUCGGGAAACCGGAGCUAAUACCGGAUAAUAUUUUGAACCGCAUGGUUCAAUAGUGAAAGACGGUUUUGCUGUCACUUAUAGAUGGAUCCGCGCUGCAUUAGCUAGUUGGUAAGGUAACGGCUUACCAAGGCAACGAUGCGUAGCCGACCUGAGAGGGUGAUCGGCCACACUGGAACUGAGACACGGUCCAGACUCCUACGGGAGGCAGCAGUAGGGAAUCUUCCGCAAUGGGCGAAAGCCUGACGGAGCAACGCCGCGUGAGUGAUGAAGGUCUUCGGAUCGUAAAACUCUGUUAUUAGGGAAGAACAUAUGUGUAAGUAACUGUGCACGUCUUGACGGUACCUAAUCAGAAAGCCACGGCUAACUACGUG